rnacentral:rRNA from 1 species
UGCAAGUCGACGGGGUCUUUCGGGAUCUAGUGGCGGACGGGUGAGUAACCCGUGAGAAUCUGCCUACAGGACUGGGACAACAGCUGGAAACGGCUGCUAAGACCGGAUGUGCCGAGAGGUGAAAUAUUUAUAGCCUGUAGAUGAGCUCGCGUCUGAUUAGCUAGUUGGUGAGGUAAGAGCUCACCAAGGCGACGAUCAGUAGCUGGUCUGAGAGGACGAUCAGCCACACUGGGACUGAGACACGGCCCAGACUCCUACGGGAGGCAGCAGUGGGGAAUUUUCCGCAAUGGGCGAAAGCCUGACGGAGCAAUACCGCGUGAGGGAGGAAGGUCUGUGGAUUGUAAACCUCUUUUGAUAGGGAAGAAGUUCUGACGGUACCUAUCGAAUCAGCAUCGGCUAACUCCGUGCCAGCAGCCGCGGUAAUACGGAGGAUGCAAGCGUUAUCCGGAAUUAUUGGGCGUAAAGCGUCCGUAGGUGGUUAGACAAGUCUAUUGUCAAAGCCCGGGGCUUAACCCUGGAGAGGCAGUGGAAACUGUUGGACUAGAGUGCGGUAGGGGCAGAGGGAAUUCCCAGUGUAGCGGUGAAAUGCGUAGAUAUUGGGAAGAACACCGGUGGCGAAAGCGCUCUGCUGGGCCUGCACUGACACUGAGGGACGAAAGCUAGGGGAGCGAAAGGGAUUAGAUACCCCUGGUAGUCCUAGCUGUAAACGAUGGGUACUAGGUGUUGCACGUAAUCGACCCGUGCAGUGCCGUAGCUAACGCGUAAGUACCCCGCUGGGGAGUACGCUCGCAAGAGUGAAACUCAAAGAUGA